UACGGAGGGUGCAAGCGUUUGUCCGGAUUUAUUGGGUUUAAAGGGUGCGUAGGCGGCCCGGUAAGUCAGUGGUGAAAGCCUCCAGCUCAACUGGAGAACUGCCAUUGAUACUGCCGGGCUUGAGUACAGACGAGGUUGGCGGAAUUGAUUGUGUAGCGGUGAAAUGCAUAGAUACAAUCAAGAACUCCGAUUGCGUAGGCAGCUAACUAGGCUGUAACUGACGCUGAGGCACGAAAGCGUGGGGAGCGAACAGG
rnacentral:rRNA from 1 species